CGCUCUUAAUUUAAUAUGACUUUAAUUUAACUCCCAACAGCACUUAAGGACUAACAUGUUUUCUCAACUAACAAAUAAGGCACAUUUUGGAAUGCCAUUUCAUGGACAUGAAAAACAGACCUGUGGUCGACUCUCGAAAAACCACCACCACUGUCCUUGUUUCCCAAAAUGAUUCUUCCCCACCUCACGCCUGCGUUCUGUCCAAUUCAAAGUAAAACAUUAUCGCAACACAAACAUCCCGAGUGACACAGACAGGCAAGAAUACAAACAUAACUUUUCAAAUUGACCACACAAGCGUGAACACAUUACAUUCAGUAAAUAUGUAUUAUUUGUAGAUGCUAAAUGACACACUAUACUCAGAAGUUGCUGAUAAUGUUAAAAACAAGAUGCGCUGUUGCAAACUGCUGUAAAAUAUUUAAAUAAGUAUACAUUGCACAAAAUAAUAUUUAACUCAAACAAAAUACAUGCACAUGCAAACUCUAAAAUAGUUCUUUGUCACACUUUUCUUGACAAAAGUAUACACUCCCUAAACUACUGAUAUCACCGUAACAUUUUAUAAUAGUUUCUUUGUUAUUGCUGCUUUAAGCAAACUACAUCUCACAGUUUAAUGUGCUUAUACAGUGGUGAGUAUCCGUCACACAAAGAUUUCUGCAUGUUAUCACGAUACAUACCUUCAUCAUAUUGUUUACAUAAUGGAUACAUGUGAGUGUAUGGAUGUAAAUGACAGCUCAUAAUUAGUUACAUAUAACCACUGAAUAACAUAGUGACUUAAUCAACAAAACACAAACAUACAAUGGCUUACAAUUGAGAGAGGCUAUUAAUUAUGUACCAGCUUUUCUUUUUAUAAUACUCUAUGUAGACAUCAAUAUUUCCUUCUUUGUGUAACCUUGUUGCAUAUUCUAUACAAAAUAUGUUGUAAAAAACCCAUAAAUAUCUCUGCAGGAUAACCCCUCAGAUUAUUGUAAAACAUACAGGAAAAAGCCCGUCCAGCUUUGUUUACUUCUCAGCAAUAGGCCCUUCUUCGCGCGAAAAAGCUUCAAUAUUGCAUAACACCUAGAAAGAGCUCCUCUCCUUGAUAAUGAUGGCCAUCAAAUAUAUACAUAAAACGGUCUUUCUUCUUCAGGGAAAUAACUCUUGAGUUUUUGCGGAUUGCUGUAAAAUGUUCAACAUCUAUUAAGUGUUCCAAAAUACACAUCUCAUUCAUAAAAAAUAACAAAUUUGAACUAUGAAGGUACUAAAAAAGUCAAGUAUAUGCGCUCAAGACAUUAUGUCAGAAAGCUGAGAUUUUCCUUUUUUUUUUGUCAAAUCUCUUCUAUCAACUGCUUCCAUUGGCUCUUUAUUUGCCAUUUAAAACGUCCUCCUCACAACUCGUCUCUGCGCUGGACCAAACUCGCCAACCAGAUUCAUCACUGCUCUGCCAGAACUCCACGAACCACAAAACCAUUGUUGCUUAUUUAUGAACUUGGUUCAUGAGGCAUCGUUGGUAUCUAUUUCUCCCACUACAGCCGCUCCAUAAUGAGGAAAUUAUCCACGUGACACGUCAGUCAUGUCUGCGUGGGCUUGAAGACGCAAUUUAAACCAGAACCGCCCGUUGCAAACUGGAGGAGUUUGUAAGUCUUCUGAAAGACGCCUUUGAGUUGCAUUAUGGGGAAGUUGGGAUCGAGCAUUCAGGAGCACGACAUUAGGGAAUAAAAGUCUGGAUAUCUCAGUCUCAUCCUGCAGGGAUCUCAACUAUUCCUUAGUGUUUCUGAGGAGCCUCCCGACUCCCGCUGAAUCACUGGAGUGACUUUACAGACUAAACCUCCUGUAAAAUACCAUAAUCAGCCACUUUCACAAUCUUUCUCACUAAGGCCAUGAAUGUUUUUCUUUUUUAUUGUUUAACAAAACCCACGGUUGCUUGGAUGAACACCACUCCAAUAGAUUAACAAAACAAAGAGUGAGGCCCACAGUUUCACGAGCAGCUCCGCUGUGUUGUCAGCAUCGACAAAGAAAUAACAUUUUUGUGGAUAUUCCAUGACAACAAACCACAGUAGGAUUGUUUUUG
ensembl:lncRNA